GAUGAACGCUGGCGGCGUGCCUAAUACAUGCAAGUCGAGCGAACGGACGAGAAGCUUGCUUCUCUGAUGUUAGCGGCGGACGGGUGAGUAACACGUGGAUAACCUACCUAUAAGAGUGGGAUAACUUCGGGAAACCGGAGCUAAUACCGGAUGAUAUUUUGAACCGCAUGGUUCAAAAGUGAAAGACGGUCUUGCUGUCACUUAUAGAUGGAUCCGCGCUGCAUUAGCUAGUUGGUAAGGUAACGGCUUACCAAGGCAACGAUGCAUAGCCGACCUGAGAGGGUGAUCGGCCACACUGGAACUGAGACACGGUCCAGACUCCUACGGGAGGCAGCAGUAGGGAAUCUUCCGCAAUGGGCGAAAGCCUGACGGAGCAACGCCGCGUGAGUGAUGAAGGUCUUCGGAUCGUAAAACUCUGUUAUUAGGGAAGAACAUAUGUGUAAGUAACUGUGCACAUCUUGACGGUACCUAAUCAGAAAGCCACGGCUAACUACGUG
rnacentral:rRNA from 1 species